rnacentral:rRNA from 1 species
UACGUAGGGGGCAAGCGUUGUCCGGAAUCAUUGGGCGUAAAGAGCGUGUAGGCGGCCAGAUAAGUCCGCUGUGAAAUCUCGAGGCUCAACUUCGAGCUGUCGGUGGAAACUGUCUGGCUAGAGUCCGGAAGAGGAGAAUGGAAUUCCUGGUGUAGCGGUGAAAUGCGCAGAUAUCAGGAAGAACACCGGUGGCGAAGGCGCUCUGCUAGGCCGCAACUGACACUGAGGGACGAAAGCUAGGGGAGCGAAUGGG